rnacentral:rRNA from 1 species
CUUAGAAGCAGCCAUCAUUUAAAGAAAGCGUAAUAGCUCACUGGUCGAGUCGGCCUGCGCGGAAGAUGUAACGGGGCUAAACCAUGCACCGAAGCUGCGGCAGCGAACGUAUCACCCAAGACAACUUUACGGAGUUGACGAUUGACGGAGCGAAGCGACGUCAAAGCGUUCAUUAAAGUCGAGUUGGCUUAGGGAUACGUUCGUUGGGUAGGGGAGCGUUCUGUAAGCCUGUGAAGGUGUGUCGUGAGGCAUGCUGGAGGUAUCAGAAGUGCGAAUGCUGACAUAAGUAACGAUAAAGCGGGUGAAAAGCCCGCUCGCCGGAAGACCAAGGGUUCCUGUCCAACGUUAAUCGGGGCAGGGUGAGUCGACCCCUAAGGCGAGGCCGAAAGGCGUAGUCGAUGGGAAACGGGUUAAUAUUCCCGUACUUGGUGUUACUGCGAAGGGGGGACGGAGAAGGCUAUGUUGGCCGGGCGACGGUUGUCCCGGUUUAAGCGUGUAGGUGUGUGUUCCAGGUAAAUCCGGUUCACUUUAACACUGAGGCGUGACGACGAGGCACUACGGUGCUGAAGCAACAAAUGCCCUGCUUCCAGGAAAAGCCUCUAAGCAUCAGGUAACAUCAAAUCGUACCCCAAACCGACACAGGUGGUCAGGUAGAGAAUACCAAGGCGCUUGAGAGAACUCGGGUGAAGGAACUAGGCAAAAUGGUGCCGUAACUUCGGGAGAAGGCACGCUGACACGUAGGUGAAGUGAUUUACUCAUGGAGCUGAAGUCAGUCGAAGAUACCAGCUGGCUGCAACUGUUUAUUAAAAACACAGCACUGUGCAAACACGAAAGUGGACGUAUACGGUGUGACGCCUGCCCGGUGCCGGAAGGUUAAUUGAUGGGGUCAGCGCAAGCGAAGCUCCUGAUCGAAGCCCCGGUAAACGGCGGCCGUAACUAUAACGGUCCUAAGGUAGCGAAAUUCCUUGUCGGGUAAGUUCCGACCUGCACGAAUGGCGUAAUGAUGGCCAGGCUGUCUCCACCCGAGACUCAGUGAAAUUGAACUCGCUGUGAAGAUGCAGUGUACCCGCGGCAAGACGGAAAGACCCCGUGAACCUUUACUAUAGCUUGACACUGAACAUUGAGCCUUGAUGUGUAGGAUAGGUGGGAGGCUUUGAAGUGUGGACGCCAGUCUGCAUGGAGCCGACCUUGAAAUACCACCCUUUAAUGUUUGAUGUUCUAACGUGGACCCGUAAUCCGGGUUGCGGACAGUGUCUGGUGGGUAGUUUGACUGGGGCGGUCUCCUCCUAAAGAGUAACGGAGGAGCACGAAGGUUGGCUAAUCCUGGUCGGACAUCAGGAGGUUAGUGCAAUGGCAUAAGCCAGCUUGACUGCGAGCGUGACGGCGCGAGCAGGUGCGAAAGCAGGUCAUAGUGAUCCGGUGGUUCUGAAUGGAAGGGCCAUCGCUCAACGGAUAAAAGGUACUCCGGGGAUAACAGGCUGAUACCGCCCAAGAGUUCAUAUCGACGGCGGUGUUUGGCACCUCGAUGUCGGCUCAUCACAUCCUGGGGCUGAAGUAGGUCCCAAGGGUAUGGCUGUUCGCCAUUUAAAGUGGUACGCGAGCUGGGUUUAGAACGUCGUGAGACAGUUCGGUCCCUAUCUGCCGUGGGCGCUGGAGAACUGAGGGGGGCUGCUCCUAGUACGAGAGGACCGGAGUGGACGCAUCACUGGUGUUCGGGUUGUCAUGCCAAUGGCACUGCCCGGUAGCUAAAUGCGGAAGAGAUAAGUGCUGAAAGCAUCUAAGCACGAAACUUGCCCCGA